UGAGCUGUGACAGCGGCGGCGGCAGGAACAACAAGCGGGAGUCCACGGACAGCAUCUCCGCUGACGAGGUGGAGGAGGAGGGCGCCUCCGCACCGGCAGACUGUCCUGACACCCCUUCUACGAGCCCAGGACAGCAGAAACGUCACACGUACGUCAACAUCAAACCAGAUGGACACGCUUAUGUCAACGUGGAACCCAAAAGUAAAUCCAACCGGGAGCCGAAAGGAGUCCUGUUCUAUGCGGUGACAGACUAUUCCCCCA